UACGUAGGGGGCUAGCGUUGUCCGGAAUCAUUGGGCGUAAAGCGCGUGUAGGCGGCCCGGUAAGUCCGCUGUGAAAGUCGGGGGCUCAACCCUCGAAAGCCGGUGGAUACUGUCGAGCUAGAGUGCGGGAGAGGCGAGUGGAAUUCCUGGUGUAGCGGUGAAAUGCGCAGAUAUCAGGAGGAACACCGAUUGCGAAGGCAGCUCGCUGGAACGUAACUGACGCUGAGACGCGAAAGCGUGGGGAGCAAACAGG
rnacentral:rRNA from 1 species